GAUGAACGCUGGCGGCGUGCCUAAUACCUGCAAGUCGAGCGAAGCGGGUACGGGUGAGUAACACGUGUCUAACCUCCUAUAAGCCUGGGCUAACUUCGGGAAACCGGAUCUAAACCGGAUACUUAUAGAUGGAUCCGCGCUGCCUUGGCUAGUUGUUAAGGUAACGGCUUACCAGGGCAACGAUGCCUAGCCGACCUGAGAGGGUGAUCGGCCACACUGUAACUGAGACACGGUCCAGACGCCUACGGGAGGCAGCAGUAGGGAAUAUUCCGCAAGGGGCGAAAGACUGACGGAGCAACGCCGCGUGAGGGAGGAAGGGCUGUGGAUAGGAAAACUCGGGUAUUAGGGAAGCGGUACCUAAUGAGAAAGCCGCGUCUAACGACGUGUCAGCAGCCGCGGUAAUAC
rnacentral:rRNA from 1 species